rnacentral:rRNA from 1 species
GGCGGCGUGCUUAAUCAUGCAAGUCAACUGAAGCACCGGUAGUAAUACUGGGUUGUGGAGGUGGCGCACGGGUGAGUAACACGUAGGUAAUCUGCCUUCAGGUCUGACAUAACCCCGAGAAAUCGGGGCUAAUAGCAGAUGAUGCAGCGGCUUGACAUCAAGACAGGUUGUUAAAGCUUCGGCGCCUGAAGAUGAGCCCUGCGUCUGAUUAGCUAGUUGGCGGAGUAAUAGCCCACCAAGGCGACGAUCAGUAGCUGGUCUGAGAGGAUGAUCAGCCACACUGGGACUGAGACACGGUCCAGACUCCUACGGGAGGCAGCAGUAAGGAAUAUUGCUCAAUGGGAGAAAUCCUGAAGCAGCAACGCCGCGUGAGGGAUGAAGGGCUUUUGCUCGUAAACCUCUGUAGUGAGGGAAAAAAUUUCCAUUCUAUGGAAUAUGAUGGUACCUCAAAAGUAAGCCCCGGCUAACUACGUG